UACGGAGGGAGCUAGCGUUAUUCGGAAUUACUGGGCGUAAAGCGCACGUAGGCGGCUUUGUAAGUUAGAGGUGAAAGCCUGGAGCUCAACUCCAGAAUUGCCUUUAAGACUGCAUCGCUUGAAUCCGAGGAGAGGUGAGUGGAAUUCCGAUGUAGAGGUGAAAGUUCGAUAGAUAUUGGAAGAACACCACGUGGCGGAAG
rnacentral:rRNA from 1 species